rnacentral:rRNA from 1 species
GAGUUUGAUCAUGGCUCAGAUUGAACGCUGGCGGCAUGCCUUACACAUGCAAGUCGAACGGCAGCACGGGAGCUUGCUCCUGGUGGCGAGCGGCGAACGGGUGAGUAAUGCAUCGGAACGUAUCCUGGAGUGGGGGAUAACGUAGCGAAAGUUACGCUAAUACCGCAUAUUCUGUGAGCAGGAAAGCGGGGGACCUUCGGGCCUCGCGCUCUUGGAGCGGCCGAUGUCGGAUUAGCUAGUUGGUGAGGUAAAGGCUCACCAAGGCGACGAUCCGUAGCAGGUCUGAGAGGAUGAUCUGCCACACUGGAACCGAGACACGGUCCAGACUCCUACGGGAGGCAGCAGUGGGAAUUUUGGACAAUGGGGGCAACCCUGAUCCAGGCCCAUGCCGCGUGAGUG